GAUGAAGAACGUAGCGAAAUGCGAUAACUAAUGUGAAUUGCAGAAUUCCGUGAAUCAUCGAGUCUUUGAACGCACAUUGCGCCCCCUGGUAUUCCGGGGGGCAUGCCUGUCCGAGCGUCAUUGCAACCCUCAAGCACGGCUUGUCUAAUGGGCGGUUCGUCUGCGGCCAUCCGCCGGAGACGCCCCCGAAAUGCAGUGGGGAUGUUCGCUAAAUCGCAGCGUCAGGAAUGGAAAUAAACAAUGCUGACGGCUCGAUGUCGAACGUCCACCUAAGGCGUGCCGCACCCCGGGGUGUGCCGCCCAACCUCUCUCGGUUGACCUCGGAUCAGGUAGGGAUACCCGCUGAACUUAAGCAUAUCAAUAAGCGGAGGA
rnacentral:misc_RNA from 1 species